GAUGAACGCUGGCGGCGUGCUUAACACAUGCAAGUCGAGCGAUGAAGCUCAGCUUGCUGGGUGGAUUAGUGGCGAACGGGUGAGUAACACGUGAGUAACCUGCCCUUAACUCUGGGAUAAGCCUGGGAAACUAGGUCUAAUACCGGAUAGGAGCGCCUACCGCAUGGUGGGUGUUGGAAAGAUUUAUCGGUUUUGGAUGGACUCGCGGCCUAUCAGCUUGUUGGUGAGGUAAUGGCUCACCAAGGCGACGACGGGUAGCCGGCCUGAGAGGGUGACCGGCCACACUGGGACUGAGACACGGCCCAGACUCCUACGGGAGGCAGCAGUGGGGAAUAUUGCACAAUGGGCGAAAGCCUGAUGCAGCGACGCCGCGUGAGGGAUGACGGCCUUCGGGUUGUAAACCUCUUUCAGUAGGGAAGAAGCGAAAGUGACGGUACCUGCAGAAGAAGCACCGGCUAACUACGUG
rnacentral:rRNA from 1 species